UUCAUAUGAGAGUUUGAUCCUGGCUCAGGAUGAACGCCGGCGGUGUGCCUAAUACAUGCAAGUCGUACGCACUGGCCCAACUGAUUGAUGGUGCUUGCACCUGAUUGACGAUGGAUCACCAGUGAGUGGCGGACGGGUGAGUAACACGUAGGUAACCUGCCCCGGAGCGGGGGAUAACAUUUGGAAACAGAUGCUAAUACCGCAUAACAACAAAAGCCGCAUGGUUUUUGUUUGAAAGAUGGCUUUGGCUAUCACUCUGGGAUGGACCUGCGGUGCAUUAGCUAGUUGGUAAGGU
rnacentral:rRNA from 1 species